rnacentral:rRNA from 1 species
GAUGAACGCUGGCGGCGUGCCUAAUACAUGCAAGUCGAGCGAACGGACGAGAAGCUUGCUUCUCUGAUGUUAGCGGCGGACGGGUGAGUAACACGUGGAUAACCUACCUAUAAGACUGGGAUAACUUCGGGAAACCGGCGCUAAUCCCGGAUAAUAUUUUGAACCGCAUUGUUCAAAAGUGAAAUACGGCGUUGCUGUCACUACUAGAUGGUUCCGCGCUGCAUUAGCUAGUUGGUAAGGUAACGGCUUACCAAGGCAACGAUGCAUAGCCGACCUGAGAGGGUGGUCGGCCACACUGGAACUGGGACACGGUCCAGACUCCUACGGGAGGCAGCAGUAGGGAAUCUUCCGCAAUGGGCGAAAGCCUGGCGGAGCAACGCCGCGUGAGUGAUGAAGGUCUUCGGAUCGUAAAACUCUGUUAUUAGGGAAGAACAUAUGUGUAAGUAACUGUGCACAUCUUGACGGUACCUAAUAAGAAAGCCACGGCUAACUACGUG